CCCUUUGUACGGAUGGCGUUAAUCAAACAACAGCUCCGAUGAAGAUUAUGAUUUAUUCUGAUCUAAUUGGGCAAGAUACAUGUUUUUAUAUGCAAUGCUUACGUACUAAUUAUAUACUACACCACACGCCUCACCAAAAAAGGAAAAAAAAAGAAAACUGCAAUUAUAUUUUUGGAGUAUCCUGGCAGGGUCGCCAUGUACGGAUGGCGUUAAUCAAACAACAGCUCCGAUGAAGAUUAUGAUUUAUUCUGAUCUAAUUGGGCAAGAUACAUGUUUUUAUAUGCAAUGCUUACGUACUAAUUAUAUACUACACCACACCUUUCCGGCCUGGGGCUCCACAGAAUACCAGCGCUGUGGUAUUUAUACCAAGAGCAUAUGCUGAGUGGUGUCCUUUUGUAGCCACUAUAGCGGCGCCAAAUUUUAUUUUAGUAAUUAUCUUACUCCUUUUUAGGGUUCCGUAGCCAAAUGGCAAAAAACGGAACCCUUAUAGAUUCGUCAUGUCUGUCUGUCUGUCUGUCUGUCUGUCCGUCCGUAUGUCACAGCCACUUUUUUCCGAAACUAUAAGCACUAUACUGUUGAAACUUGGUAAGUAGAUGUAUUCUGUGAACCGCAUUCAGAUUUUCAUACUAAUAUAGAAAAAAAAAACACUAAAUUUUUAGGGUUCCCCAUACAUAGAACUGAAACUGAAAAAUUUUUUUUUCAUCAACGCCAUACGUGUGGGGUAAUAGAUACCCCACAGGAUAGUUCUUAAAAAUGAUAUUGAGGUUUCUAAUAUCAUUUUCUUCUAAACUGAAUAGUUUGCGCGAGAGACACUUCCAAAGUGGUAAAAUGUGUGCCCCCCCCCCCCCCUGUAACUUCUAAAAUAAGAGUAUGAUAAAACUAAAAAAUAUAUAUGACAUACAUUACCAUGCAAACUUCCACCGAAAAUUGGUUUGAACAAGAUUUGGUAAGUGGUUUUUUUUAAUACGUCAUAAA